CGGAGAUAGUAAGGUGGCGGACGGGUGAGUAACACGUAAAGACUUGCCCUGCAGUCUGGGACAACUACUGGAAACGGUAGCUAAUACCGGAUAUUGCCGCAUGGCGAAAGCUAUAUGCGCUGCAGGAGAGCUUUGCGUCCCAUUAGUUAGUUGGUGAGGUAACGGCUCACCAAGACCACGAUGGGUAGCCGGCCUGAGAGGGUGAACGGCCACAAGGGGACUGAGACACGGCCCUUACUCCUACGGGAGGCAGCAGUGGGGAAUAUCGGACAAUGGACCAAAGUCUGAUCCAGCAAUUCUGUGUGCACGAUGACGGUCUUAGGAUUGUAAAGUGCUUUCAAUCGGGAAAAAGAAAGUGAUGGUACCGAUAGAAGAAGCGACGGCUAAAUACGUGCCAGCAGCCGCGGUAAUACGUAUGUCGCAAGCGUUAUCCGG
rnacentral:rRNA from 1 species